AGCUUUAUGCUAUUACUUAAAGUAACUCCUGCUCAAUGAACUUAAAUAGCCGCAGAAUUUUAUACUGUGCUAAGGUAGCAUAAUCACUUGUCUUUUAAUUAAAGAAUAGAAUGAACGGAAAAACGAAUUUUAGACUGUUUCAUUUUUACCCAAUAAACUUACCAAAAAGUAAAAACACUUUUCUCAAAAAAAAAGACGAUAAGACCCUAAAGAACUUCACUAAAGUUAAGCUGGGGCGGCUUAAUAAAAAAAUCUUAAUAAAUUUAUCCUAAACCCUAAAUUUAUUCCUCAAUGUUACCUUAGGGAUAACAGCAUAAUUCAAUUUUACAGCUCAUAUCUAAAAUUGAGAUUAUGACCUCGAUGUUGAAUUAAAUUUCUAUUAAACGAAAAAAAUUAACUAGAAAGUCUGUUCGACUUAUAAACCUUUACAUGAUUUGAGUUCAGACCGGUGAGAGCCAGGUCGGUUUCUAUCUUUUUUACAGAUGUACCAGUACGAAAGGACCAUACGACUUAUUA
rnacentral:rRNA from 1 species